AAUUACGACAUGAUAUGUCGUAAUUACGACAUAACAUGUCGUUAUAACGACAUCGCUAUGUCGUAAUUUCGACAUAACAUGUCGUUAUAACGACAUCGCUAUGUCGUAAUUUCGACAUAUCAUGUCGUAAUA
rnacentral:sRNA from 1 species